rnacentral:lncRNA from 1 species
AGAUCAAUCUUUGUGUUCAUUCUCGCAAUCGCUCUCUUGCUGUGUCCCCAUCGCUGUAUUGAUCUCUUUUGUUUUUUCAACUACAUGUCACAUUUGUCCGGUAAUCCUUCGUUGCAGAAGUAUUCAGCUCCCUAAGUCAAUACGUGUUAGAAACACCUUUUGGCAUCGACUACAGCUUCUUGGGAUUUUGCCUGUGCUGAACUCCAUCUUGUUUCUUUUUGUCCUGGAAAACUCCUCAGUAUUGGCCGAUGUCAACCAUACCAUGAUGCAGCCACCACCAUGCUUAAAAAUAAGGAGGCAGUUACUCAGUGAUGUGUUGGAUUUCUCCCAAACAUAAAGCUUUGCAUUUAUGCCAAAAAGUCUACACCUUUGCUGUGUUUUUUUUGCUAUGUAUUUGUUUUAUUUUCA